UAAUUAUCUGAAGUAGAAGAUGUAUGUAAAUUAAUUA
rnacentral:guide_RNA from 1 species